CGGUACGGCAAAGCACAGUUCUGCAUAAUACAAUGCAGCAUGAUUCAACAUUCAAUAAGCCUAACAACGUAACAUCAAACAUUAAGACCAUCUGUUGUCACAACAAACCGUACUGUAAAGCAUACGCCAGUGCUUCAUGUGGUCGAGCUUCACCCGCUCCAAACGCUUCGCUCUGAUCUGGAGCAGAACCAGCGCUGAUUCUGACCACCAACCGCACACCGAGCAAAGACACGGAGGAAAUGUUCCCCGACACACGACUACUGCUCUCAUUUCCUGCCCUCGUGCUUCAGGGGGACUGGAAUCAGUGUUUUCAAUUUAACAACACAUUAUAAAGAGCGGUAAAGAGGAAGCACGCGGCUCGGAAAAUAAUCAGCCCCUGCGUGUCAGGGAUAAUCCAAAUACAGAACAGAAGGGAAAACGGGGAGAACUGCAUAAUACGGGACUAAUUAAAUUCUUUCAUUGUUAUGUUAUGUCCAAAACAACUCGGUGGCGUCCAGAACUGAAGGUCAUUGACUGGGCAUGCUGCAGAUGGGUGAUAGAGGUCCAGUCUAGCGGUAAUGACAAUCCUUCUUAACAAGAUCAGAUUUAAAGGUUUCUCAAGCACUCUCUCUUUUUUGGAAGAACAUCUGGAUUCGACACAGAAGAUGUGAAUGUUUGCAAACAACAUUUCAAAGGACAAGUCUGCGUAGCCUGAGGGGCACGAACAACACAAUGUCUUUGUACGUCCUGCUCCUUUAAGAGGCAGGCGGCAGGAAAAGAGACCGUGACCUUCUGAAUGUGACUCACACUUCAUACUCGUGGCAAACAUGACACAAACACGGGCAUCUAUGACUGCUGACUCUUCGGCACCAAAGUUCUCAUAAUCUAACCGAGAACAAAACUGAAUGAACAUAGUGUAAGACUAUUAGGAAAUUGCUGACCUUUUCCUACGUGACAUUUCCAACAAAUUAGGUCAGAAUUAUGUAACAGGGGUUUGUGUCUGGCUAAAAUCACACACUGCAACAACAGCUUGAUUCGCUCAAUAUCACUACUGCAAGAAAACGAGUUAACUAUUAAAAAAUUAUGUUAACAAUAAUAAUAUCCAUAAAUAUAUAAUAAUAAUAAUAAUAAUAAUAAUAAUAAUAAUAAUAAUAAUAAUAAUAAUGAUAAUGAGUACAUUACUAAUCAUAAACAUCCAAAAGAUAAAUAUUAUUUUCCUUUGAAUAGAUUAAUUAUGUUAAACUGUGCAUGUUUAUGCCACUAAAUGAAUUUAAACAGUGGAAAAAACUGCUUUUUAUUUUAAAAUUCUUACUUUUUGUUAUCUCAAAAUUGCUUGUUUGUAUCUCAUAAUUCUGACAUUUUUCUUGCAGCUGCAUCUUUUUUCUUAAAAAUGGUGAAUUAUUAAGUCUUAAUAAUAAAGACUUAUAAUUUUUUUUCUUCCAAUUGCUUGUUUAAACCACCCAAUUCUAAUUUUAUUCAUUUCUUUUUUAAAUUUGCAACUUAAUUUCUCAGCAUUGCAGAAAUUUAUAUCACUACUUUUUGGGGAAAAAGAGUUUAUAUCUCUGAUUCUGGCAUUGUAGCUCACACAUGCAAGUUUAUAUCUAACAAUUCUGAGGAAAAAAAGGCAGAAUUGGGAGAUUAAAAGAUUGAAUUUAAUUUUUUUGAUUCAGUGACAAAAACAGCUUCCAUA